UGUGAGCUGCCCGGCCGUCGUCAGGAGGCACAGGUAUGUUGUGAGCUGCCCGGCCGUCGUCAGGAGGCACAGGUAUGUUGUGAGCUGCCCGGCCGUCGUCAGGAGGCACAGGUAUGUUGUGAGCUGCCCGGCCGUCGUCAGGAGGCACAGGUAUGUUGUGAGCUGCCCGGCCGUCGUCAGGAGGCACAGGUAUGUUGUGAGCUGCCCGGCCGUCGUCAGGAGGCACAGGUAUGUUGUGAGCUGCCCGGCCGUCGUCAGGAGGCACAGGUAUGUUGUGAGCUGCCCGGCCGUCGUCAGGAGGCACAGGUAUGUUGUGAGCUGCCCGGCCGUCGUCAGGAGGCACAGGUAUGUUGUGAGCUGCCCGGGCGUCGUCAGGAGGCACAGGUAUGUUGUGAGCUGCCCGGCCGUCGUCAGGAGGCACAGGUAUGUCAUUACUAUUGUGCAAAUAUACAAUGCCGUGCAAUUAUGUGGAAAUUUUAUCUACCGAUAUACAGGAAAAAUCUUGUUUACAUUAUUAAAUUACGCUCAAUUGGCCAUAAUUUAUCGUUAUCGAGUUUGAAGUUAAUGAAUGUUUUAUAGGUUUUAUACGACACUCGAUCUGACAGAAUCAAAUUCCAUGUUUGAACUUUUAAGUGAAAGUACGUAAAUAGAAGUCGAACAAAAACCGGCCUGAAAAAUUGUAUGAAAAUCUUGGGAAUUAAUUAUAACCCGGACGAAAUGAAU